UGAAGAGAGAGCUUGAUCCUGGCUCAGGAUAAACGUUGGCGGUGCGCCUUAUGCAUGCAAGUCGUACGGGGCUAUAGUUUUCGGAUUGUAGCCUAGUGGCGGACGGCUGAGUAACGCGUAGGCAACUUGCCUGCAAGUGGGGGACAACCUGUCGAGAGGCAGGCUAAUACCGCAUGAGAUGAACGAGUGAUGCUUGUUUAUCAAAGCCGCGAGGCGCUUGCAGAGAGGCCUGCGUCUGAUUAGCUAGUUGGCAGGGUAAAGGCCUACCAAGGCGAUGAUCAGUAGCUGGUCUGAGAGGAUGAUCAGCCAGAUGGGGACUGAGACACGGCCCCAACUCCUACGGGAGGCAGCAGCAAGGGAUAUUGGGCAAUGGGCGAAAGCCUGAC
rnacentral:rRNA from 1 species